GUGAGGAAUAUUGGUCAAUGGGCGAGAGCCUGAACCAGCCAAGUCGCGUGAAGGAAGAAGGAUCUAUGGUUCGCAAACUUCUUUUGCAGGGGAAUAAAGUGCAGGACGUGUCCUGUUUUGUAUGUACCCUGAGAAUAAGGAUCGGCUAACUCCGUGCCAGCAGCCGCGGUAAUACGGAGGAUCCGAGCGUUAUCCGGAUUUAUUGGGUUUAAAGGGUGCGUAGGUGGUUUGAUAAGUCAGCGGUGAAAGUUUGCAGCUUAACUGUAAAAAUGCCGUUGAAACUGUCGGACUUGAGUGUAAAUGAGGUAGGCGGAAUGCGUGGUGUAGCGGUGAAAUGCAUAGAUAUCACGCAGAACUCCGAUUGCGAAGGCAGCUUACUAAGCUACAACUGACACUGAAGCACGAAAGCGUGGGGAUCAAACAGGAUUAGAUACCCGUGUAGUCC
rnacentral:rRNA from 1 species